rnacentral:tRNA from 1 species
GGCGGGGUGACUCAGUGGUUAGAGCGCGAACUUACUGACUGGAAAAGCCGUGGUUCGAAUCCGGCCUCUGCCA